CGGUUGCCUCCUGAAUUUUUUAGCACUUUACCAAGUUCAGCAGCACAUGAACCUGGACCAAACAUGUUGACAAGAGUGUACGGGCUUCCACCAACUCCUGUAGACAUUGCUGAAGCUGUAAAAGGAGUUAAACGAGGAGACGUGUCAGAGCAUCUCAGGCGCAGAAUUGUGGAUUGGAUGUGCCAUGACAUGGCCUCAUGCACGCUGUAUGGGGGCAAAAUGUGCUAGCCUGCAGCACAACAGCUUGUAAGACGUUAUCCCCAACUCAGAGACACUGCACUUCACGGUUGUAGUGUUCCUGGUGCAUGUCACUAUGCAAUAAAGGGAAAAAAUGCGGAGAGUGAUGAGUGGAUUCUCUGAAAUAGAUGCUGCAAGAGCAAAAGUGAUCAAGAAACCAAACGAAGGGACAGCGACCUCCACAAAUGCGCAACGCCCGGGGCCUUGAAAACUAUAAGGAGAGAUCAUGUUCAGAUUCACAACGAGUUUCAAAGACUCACAAAUGUGGAUGCUGACGCAGCACUACUACGGUUCAUCACGGCGUCUGGACACAAAAUUAUUCACAUGCAAUACAACAAGAAGUCUGCCAGAACGGAAAUAAAGCGCAUGAAAGAACA